GGUAAAUUGAGUUUUUAUUGUACACUAUAAAAUAGUUUGUAUAAUUUAUUAAUAUCCUUAAUCGUAAUAAUAAUGUACAAUAUAGAUUAUAGACAUAAUAUUAUACUAUAAUAAUGUAUAGUUUAUAUAAUAAUGAUAUCAAACUAGUUGAAGGGGGGGAGGGGAAAAAAAUUACAACAUAGUCGAACGAAAAAUUACCGAUUCUAGAUCGUACAGAAUAAUAAUAGUAAUAAUAUACGUCAUGUUAAUAAUAUAAUAAUUAUGUAUAAAUAUAGUUUUUUUUUUCUUCAAUAAGAAUAAUAAUAUACAACUCAAUAAUUAUCUAAAAAUUAGAUUUUUUUUUUUUUUUUAUAAUAUAUAAUAUGUUAUGUAACUAUAUAUAAACAAAAUUGUAUAAAUUUCAUUGCCGUACGGUUAUUAAUAAUGUACAAUGUUACAACGUAUUAUGAAAUUAUAUUUUGUUUUAGGACACAUCGUUUAAUGAUUUAUACAAAAUACUUUUUUUUUUUAUUUUUUUUUUUCUGUUUUUCUUAUCAUUUAUUCGAAUAUUUACACGAUAACGUCGAGUAUGUACGACCCGAAACGCGAAAACAACCCCCGCCCCCCGUGAACGCCGCGCGCACCCAAUCAAACGGACGUUACCGCAGUCGACCAACGAUCUUCCGGCGCGUCUUUUUUAGCGCUACAUAGGCGACCGCCCGCGUACAGUUACGUCGGUAUUACUUGGUGUUGCGUAAAUAUCCGGCGAAUCGGUCAGACCGGUUCCCACCGCAAUGGGAACGCCGCAAUAUUGUCGAACGCGUACAAUGCGAUUUCGUCGAACCGUUACGUUAAACCGCAUAAUAUAAAUCGGAACGUUUUUAAAUUAAUAAUAUUGUACAAUUUUCUUUAAUUUUUUUUUUUUUUUUUUUCGGAAUACGCUGAUGGACAAUAUCAUCAAUAUAACAAUAAUUACUCGGGUAUUCGCUGGGUAUGAAGUAUUAUUUUUACCAUACAGAACAAAAAAAAAAAAAAAAU